AUCCAGUUGACGAGUUUCAAAUAGGACGAAACACAUAUCCUGGAU
rnacentral:hammerhead_ribozyme from 1 species